rnacentral:rRNA from 1 species
UACGUAGGGGGCUAGCGUUGUCCGGAAUCAUUGGGCGUAAAGCGCGUGUAGGCGGUCCGGUAAGUCCGCUGUGAAAGUCGAGGGCUCAACCCUCGAAUGCCGGUGGAUACUGUCGGGCUUGAGUACGGGAGAGGCGAGUGGAAUUCCUGGUGUAGCGGUGAAAUGCGCAGAUAUCAGGAGGAACACCGAUUGCGAAGGCAGCUCGCGGGACGUGACUGACGCUAAGGCGCGAAAGCGUGGGGAGCGAACAGG